AUGGCUCGCGCGCACGGCGCAUUCCUGCUGCAGCUGCUGGCCGCGGGCCUGCAGGUCGUCGCGCUCGCGGCGACCAUCACAGUCACACAGACGGACGACCCGCGGUGCCGGCCGAGCCUGCCGCGGCGGGGCGCCAUCGCGGUGUACCCGAGCGACAUGGAGCAGCUGCAGUUCCUGCUCAACCCCAAGUUCGUGGAGGCGGAGUGGUUCCUCCACGCCGCGCUGGGCCGCGGCAUCGACUACCUCGACCGCAACCUCUCGGCGGGCGGCCCGGCCCCCGUCGGCCCGCGCAAGGCCAGCCUCGACUUCCGCACCACCGAGAUCGCCGCGGAGCUCGGGUACCAGGAGGUGGGCCACAUCAGGGCCAUCACGCAGGCCAACGGCGGGUUCCCGCGCCCGCCCAUCGACCUCAGCGCCGACCGCUUCGCCGCCAUCAUGGACGACGCCCUGGGCGCGCGCCUCGACCCGCCCUUCGACGCCUACAACGGCACCGUCAACUUCCUCCUCGCCUCCUACAUCCUGCCCCACGUCACCGCCGCCGCCGCCGUCGGCAUCAGCCCCAACCUCAUGGGCUACGCCUCCAAGCGCCUCCACGCCAGCGUCCUGGCGGUGGAGGCCGGGCAGGACGCGGUGAUCAGGAUGCUGCUGUACCAGCGCGCCGACGAGACGGUGGCGCCCUACAAGGGGCGCACGGUGGCCGAGUUCACGCGCCGGAUCUCCGACUGGCGCAACGAGCUGUCCGGCUGCGGCGCCAAGGACGAGGGGGUCAAGGUGCUGGACCGGCAUCAGGGCGCGGAGCGACGCACCAUCAGCAACAUCCUCGGCGCCGGCGUGGACUCGCUCGGGUACCAGCGCACCCCGGCGGAGGCGCUGCGCAUCCUCUACGGCUCGCGCAACGAGCAGGUCCCCGGCGGGUUCCUGCCCCGGGGCGCCAACGGCACCAUCGCCAGAGGAUUUGUCCAGCUCGCAUAG
rnacentral:rRNA from 1 species